GUCACAGGCAUUGAUGUUGGCCCCAGCCUCCAGGAGCUGCUGCACCAUCUCUCGGAAAUCAUCAAUGCAGCACUGCAAACCGUGCCACGCCUCCCGGGAGGGCUCCUGUCCACAUGGGAAGAUGCAGGCCAGACACUGCCGGCUCCUCUUUACUCUCUGCUCCGGAGGGAGGCAGGAAGGAGUCUCAAGGGCCACCACAGUGCCUCUUCCCCCCAGACCCCAGAGCACCAGAAGUGGAACCCACACAGCUGGGGCUGCAAGCGUGGGGCACAGAUCAUUUCGGGCAGCGGCCUCCAGAAGGACAACACUGGGAGGGAAGAGGACCUGCUUCAGGGGCCCUUGGCUGGCUGCCUCCUUCCGGG